AGCGAACGCUGGCGGCAUGCUUAACACAUGCAAGUCGCACGGGCAGCAAUGUCAGUGGCGGACGGGUGAGUAACGCGUAGGAACGUGUCCUGAGGUGGGGGACAACCCCGGGAAACUGGGGCUAAUACCGCAUAUGGGCUGAGGCCCAAAGCCGAGAGGCGCCUUUGGAGCGGCCUGCGUCCGAUUAGGUAGUUGGUGGGGUAAAGGCCUACCAAGCCUGCGAUCGGUAGCUGGUCUGAGAGGACGACCAGCCACACUGGGACUGAGACACGGCCUAGACUCCUACGGGAGGCAGCAGUGGGGAAUAUUGGACAAUGGGCGAAAGCCUGAUCCAGCAAUGCCGCGUGGGUGAAGAAGGUCUUCGGAUCGUAAAGCCCUUUCGACGGGGACGAUGAUGACGGUACCCGUAGAAGAAGCCCCGGCUAACUUCGU
rnacentral:rRNA from 1 species